ACCGUUCGGGCCUCGCGCUAUCAGAUGAGCCUGCGUAGGAUUAGCUUGUUGGUGAGGUAAAGGCUCACCAAGGCGACGAUCCUUAGCUGGUCUGAGAGGAUGAUCAGCCACACUGGAACUGAGACACGGUCCAGACUCCUACGGGAGGCAGCAGGUGGGGAAUAUUGCGCAAUGGGCGAAAGCCUGACGCAGCCAUGCCGCGUGUGUGAAGAAGGCCCUUGGGUUGUAAAGCACUUUCAAUUGGGAAGAAAGGUUGCGUGUUAAUAGCACGUAGCUGUGACGUUACCUUUAGAAGAAGCACCGGCUAACUCCGUG
rnacentral:rRNA from 1 species